rnacentral:sRNA from 1 species
AUGCGUCGCCAGAUUGCUUGGUGACAUAGUGGGUUUCACCGAUCACGAUGAUAGAAGUUUGAGCUUAUGUACCAUAGCAAAAGUGUGAUCUGAACGUGCAUAAGUUGUGGCAGAGCUGGUGUUUCAAAACUGCCCGUGUAGCCGAUAGUUUAUUGCGAUUUGUUUGUUUUCCAAAUCAAUUUUCUCUGUCUAGUUGUGCUUAUGUAACUCGUAUCAUCCUUAUAUAUUUGUGUAAUGAAACAAUCGCUGUCAUCUUGUUGAGCUUGUAUUCAUCAUAUUAUGAUGGAAUAAGAAAAUGGAUUCUGAAAU